CAUCUGGGCCUGCAGAGAUGAAGUCAGCAUCAAAACCACUACAGCCCGGAAAUGACUUCAUUGAGUUGCAAUGCAGAUGGAUUGAUUCCAGUACCAUAAAGUCAACAUAGUUGAACACUAGCUACAUUGCAAUCUUCAUUACUGUAGUCUGGAUCAAGUUGUGAUGAAGUGAUGGAAUUAAUAACAAAUGAUAUAACACUCAAUGUGAACAUCUACAAAUGAAGAGAACCAUUAGCAUAUUGUGGGGGUACAA